CUCCCCGAGUGGCUCACCGGCUUUACGUCGGUUGGUGGCCCCGUCUGGGACCGAACCGGGCACCGCCUUGUGAAAAAAAAAGAAUAGAAUAUACCCUGUUAAAUCAGACAUGAUACUUGCUUUUGUGGAGCUUAUGCUUUAGUGCAGAAACAGAAAGUCAAGCAAAAACUCAAACUAUGUAACUUUAAAUUGGAUAUGUGCUAAUGAAGGAAAAUGUGGCACUGUAAGAAAAAAUAAUAGGGAGUUAAAGGAUAAAUAGGAAUUUGCUGGAUGAAAUUUAUGAAGGGCUGAAGAUUUCAAACAAAAGAAACUGAUGCAGAAGGGUGCAGCUUUGGAGUCAAGAAUGAAGUUCUAGGAGAUAAGAGAGCAAGGAAAUGGUGGGAGAGGAGGUCAAAACGGAAUGAAGUUGAUAAUAGUGAGACCUUGUUGGUACAAGACUCUGUAACAUAACCUGCGCUUCUCAACAAAGAAUUGCUUUUCUGACUUCUGCACUCACAAGACAAAUCUCUCCUCUGUCUUUUUCUUAUCAGACUACUCAACAUGAAGGCAAUAAGAAUGAAGACCUUUAUGUAUAAUAAUUGACUUCCACUUAAUAAAUAAGGUUACUUGGUACACUGGUCGACAAAACCUUGAAAUGUUGAUGUUUAAGGGCUGUUGAUUGCUGGCAACAAAGAAGUCCAACUGUGCUGGUACCCGAGAUAGCGUCUCCACAUUUUCUUCCAGGAUCAUCACCUUUGUUGUAAAUAGCUCCCACAUAGUGUGAACAGAAGUCAUAUGUUUUAGAUUUUCUGCCUUGGCACCCAGG
rnacentral:lncRNA from 1 species